rnacentral:rRNA from 1 species
UACGAACUGUGCGAACGUUAUUCGGAAUCACUGGGCUUACAGGGUGCGUAGGCGGCUUAGCAAGUCAGGUGUGAAAGCCCCCGGCUCAACCGGGGAACUGCGCUUGAAACUGCUGAGCUCGAGUCAGCUAGAGGUACACGGAACUUCCAGUGGAGCGGUGAAAUGUGUUGAUAUUGGAAGGAACACCGGAGGCGAAAGCGGUGUACUGGGGCUGGUCUGACGCUGAGGCACGAAAGCCAGGGGAGCGGACGGG